rnacentral:rRNA from 1 species
UACAGAGGGUGCAAGCGUUGUUCGGAAUUAUUGGGCGUAAAGCGCGUGUAGGCGGCUUUGCAAGUCGGGUGUGAAAGCCCUCAGCUCAACUGAGGAAGUGCGCCCGAAACUGCAGAGCUUGGGUGCCGGAGAGGGUGGCGGAAUUCCCCAAGUUAGAGGUGAAAUUCGUAGAUAUGGGGAGGAACACCGGGUGGCGAAGCGGCCCGCUGGGAUACUUGGCUGACGCUGAGGCGCGACA